UACCAAACAGACUAUGCUAUAAACCUUAAAAUUAUUAUAUUGCAACUAAUGCUAACAACUUGAAAUUGAACUAUGAAACUACAUAUUCACUAUACUACUACAUAUGCACUUGUUCUAUCAAAGUUACAAUUCUAAAAAAUAUACACAUGCUAGGUACAGUGUUUCAAACAUAUGUGAGUCGGCAUUUUUUAUUACAAACAAACUAUUAGAAACCUAUACUAACUUGAAAUUUUACAUAUUUUAUAACAACCAAGCUAGCAGACCUUCAGCAUGUAGCAUUUCCUACUAGACAAAUAGCCAUCCAAACACAUCCAAACCACAUGAAUACUGCAAAAGACUAAAACUAAUAAAGGUAUUGAGAAAACAUGAAAAUAAAAUUAAAAGGGGAGAAUUUCAUUAGAUCUUCAAUUUCAGUUACAUAUUGCCAAUAGGACGACAGACUUGCACUUCAAAGAUCAUGUAAAGUCUAAGAAAUACCUGGAUAUUGAAACAAAACAAAAACGGAAUAAGAAGUUCAGCAAGCAAAGAAGUAUGAGUAAAUCAGCAGCUCAACAGCAUUAUUCAGCUUCUUAGACCAAUCUUAAACCCAGAAAAAUAGAAGUCCUUCGAAAACUUUUAGUUUCUUACUAACAGGGAGAAACCAAGGAACAAUUCUCAACCAUUUUCAACCAAAUAAUGCAAAAACUUUGAGUAUUUUUAGGGUCUAAAUUUCUGAUGUUUCUUUUCAGAACUUUUAGGCAGAAGAUAAUGCUAAAUGUGUGUGUGUGUGAGUAAGAGAAUGUUUUCCUUUUAUAGAGUGCACAAAAAGGCAUCAAAAAAGCAUAUUCUAACCUAAAAUUCUGAAUUUUUAGGAUAGUACAACAUCUUUUUACAACUGUUUAUCCUUUUCCUACCCAAUUUCAGCAUCUUUUGCAACAACUAGGAUAACUAUGCACCUUCUAGAAACUUCUCCUAUUUUCAUACCCUUUUUACUUUUGAAAUUUUACCAUUUAUUCAGAAGUUCUGACUUAAUACGUUUUCUUAUUUUAAUUUGAUACCUUAUCCUAAAUCUAGAAGCUUCUCAUAUAAAAAUCAUACUUCAUAUUCCCAAAUUAACCUCCUAUGUUUUCAAUUGCUCAAUUAAGACCCUAGGAGUUUUUUACCAAUUACAAAUCCUUAACAAACAAAAUCAAAUGGGCUACUAUCAGUAUUUGAAGCAAACAAUCAAAGUUAAAAGGCAAAACAUCUGAAAAUUUUAAAAAAUAAACCUAAUCUCUAAACUGAACCAAAUCCAUAAGAAAAACUUUAUAAAGCUUAACAGACUAUCAACUUAACGAUGAGCAUGGGCAGACACUUUAAACAAACAAACAACUUGAAUAACACUGAACUUAAACUAAUCAUACACUAAUUAAAAUAAAUAAUUAACAAUUUAUGCUAAUCAUGCAGUCAGAGAAAACCAAAAGGGAAUUAACAAUUAUUCAUGACUUAGGCUAAAUUGAUCAAUGAAUUGAAAUUACAAUAAUUACUCCCCAACCAAAUGGUUUUGAAUGUGACCAAUGAUUGAAACAGGGAUGACUGUAAAAAAAUGAAGACCAAACAAACUUAUAAACUGAAAAUUACCUAAGAGAAACUGACUCGAAUUUUGAAGAAAAAGCAAGGAAAAUGGAGAGGUAAAUGAAACCUUACCAUUUGAGGAGCAGAAAGCAAACAAAGGAGCUACAGAGCUCCGUCUCUGCCUCGAUUGACCAACAGAGGUCUUCUCUUUUAGGGUAUCCAGUCUUGCAUGGAUUUGACCGGAUCUCCUUGAAAUAGAAGACUUUUGGAAGUCUAACUUUUGAAGGAAAAUAUUAAGGAGCUUGGAUUCGGACAAAACAGAGACCCCUACUUCGAUUUGCUAUUUCGGAGUUUUGCAGGGUUAUUUGGAAAAAUCAGUGAGGUAUUUAGGAAGAGGAGGGUACAGGGCGUCAUGGUGAAACUUUGGGUCGAUUUGGAAGGAUUAGGGUUUUUAGGCAUCGAUCUUAGAUUUAAAAUUCGAGAUGUUUUGUGAUGAUUCGAAUGAACUGGUUAGAGAUUUGGAAAUGGGAGAUGACGGGGGUUAACUGGUGAGAAUUUGGGGCCAUCUGGAGAAGUUUCGCCACCGUGUAGCGAUUUCCGACGGCGGAGGGCGGUAGAGGAGAUGGGGGAAUUUGGGGCGGCUAGGGUUUCUUUUGUUUGGGUGUUAGAAACAACUAAGGAGUUUUGAAGGGGGAGGAGUGUUUCGAAAAG
rnacentral:lncRNA from 1 species